GUGCCAGCAGCCUGCGGUAAUUCCAGCUCCAAUAGCGUAUAUUAAAGUUGUUGUGGUUAAAAAGCUCGUAGUUGAACCUUGGGCCUGGCUGGCCGGUCCGCCUCACCGCGUGCACUGGUCCGGCCGGGCCUUUCCCUCUGUGGAACCCCAUACCCUUCACUGGGCGUGGCGGGGAAACAGGACAUUUACUUUGAAAAAAUUAGAGUGCUCCAGGCAGGCCUAUGCUCGAAUACAUUAGCAUGGAAUAAUAAAAUAGGACGCGCGGUUCUAUUUUGUUGGUUUAUAGGACCGCCGUAAUGAUUAAUAGGGACAGUCGGGGGCAUCAGUAUUCAACUGUCAGAGGUGAAAUUCUUGGAUCAGUUGAAGACUAACUACUGCGAAAGCAUUUUGCCAAGGAUGUUUUCAUUAAUCAGGAACGAAAGUUAGGGGAUCGAAGACGAUCAGAUACCGUCGUAGUCUUAACCAUAAACUAUGCCGACUAGGGAUCGGACGGUGUUAUUCAUGACCCGUUCGGCACCUUACGAGAAAUCAAAGUGCUUGGGCUCCAGGGGGAGUAUGGUCGCAAGGCUGAAACUUAAAGAAAUUGACGGAAGGGCACCACCAGGGUGGAGCCUGCGGCUUAAUCUGACUCAACACGGGAAACUCACCAGGUCCAGACACAAUAAGGAUUGACAGAUUGAGAGCUCUUUUCUUGAUUUGUGGGUGGUGGUGCAUGGCCGUUCUUAGUUGGUGGGGGUGACUUGUCUGCUUAAUUGCGAUAACGAACGA
rnacentral:rRNA from 1 species